GACAGAGGUCCCGAGCGUUAGGCGGAAUCACUGGGCUUAAAGCGUGUGUAGGCGGAUCGUUAAGUGCCUUGUGAAAUCCCGCGGCUUAACCGUGGAACUGCUUGGCAUACUGGCGGUCUUGAGCCACCUAGGGGCAACCGGAACAAAUGGUGGAGCGGUGAAAUGCGUAGAUAUCAUUUGGAACGCCAAUGGUGAAAACAGGUUGCUGGGGGUGUGCUGACGCUGAGACACGAAAGCCAGGGGAGCGAACAGG
rnacentral:rRNA from 1 species